rnacentral:rRNA from 1 species
GACGAACGCUGGCGGCGGGCUUAACACAUGCAAGUCGAACGGAAAGGCCUCUUUCGGGGGGUACUCGAGUGGCGAACGGGUGAGUAACACGUGAGUAACCUGCCCUUGACUUUGGGAUAACUUCAGGAAACUGGGGCUAAUACCGGAUAGGAGCUCCUGCUGCAUGGUGGGGGUUGGAAAGUUUCGGCGGUUGGGGAUGGACUCGCGGCUUAUCAGCUUGUUGGUGGGGUAGUGGCUUACCAAGGCUUUGACGGGUAGCCGGCCUGAGAGGGUGACCGGCCACAUUGGGACUGAGAUACGGCCCAGACUCCUACGGGAGGCAGCAGUGGGGAAUAUUGCACAAUGGGUGGAAGCCUGAUGCAGCAACGCCGUGUGCGGGAUGACGGCCUUCGGGUUGUAAACCGCUUUCGCUCAUGACGAAGCUUUGUGUGACGGUAGUGGGUAAAGAAGCACCGGCUAACUACGUG